AAGAUGGGAGAUCAAAUUGAAUAUCAAGAGCAAGUUAUGGCUAAGGAAAGUGACAGAUGACUACACAACUGCCAGUGGAACAUCUGGAUUGAGUGACGUGCUAGACUUAUUUUUUACUUCCUUGUCAAUAUUCCUGGGUGUUUACAAGUCUUCUGCUACCCUCAAAUAAACACAAUCCUUUUCACAGAUAUUAAAUUUGUGUCCUAUCUCCAAAGUUAUAAAAUAUUUUCAUAGAAGAACAUUACUUGACAAUUAGGUAGAGAACAAAUAAUAUUUAUGGACACAAAAUAAAGUGAGAAAGAAACAUAAUAAUAGUAAAAAGAGAACUAACUUUUAUUGAAUAUCUACUAUUUACAGAUGCUACAUUAACUCCUACAACAAAUUUAUGCAGCAAUUGAGGCUAAGAGAUCUUCUGUAUUAAGCAUAAGUAUUCCAGGUCACACAGACCAUGAAUAAGGGCAUGGCUUCUAAACAUUGUUUAAGACUAAACUUAACUUUGAUGUCAUGUCCUUCAUGGACCCUUUUUGACGACUUCCAUGUCGAACAUAGAUCUCUAUCUGCAGGUUGCUAUGGUCUCCUUUGCUUCCUUUCAUUGUGCUUAUCACAGUGCACGAAAACUUUCUCUUCAUUUCAUCGCCUUGGCUGAACUACAACUUCUUAUCACAGUGAAGUUCUCUUAUUAAUAUUUUUAGCCUCAGUCUCUUUAGCAUAAUAUUGAGUGCAUAGUAGAUACUCAGCAAACAUAGAAUAAGUAAAUAAAUGAAUGCGUGAAUGAGUAGGGCAAAGAUUAAGAAAACGAAGUCAGUAUCUAAGGAACCAAACACACGAUGUGGUCAGGGAAGGGUCUAAGAAAUUUUAAACCACACAACUUCUCAAAACUCAUCACUGCCUUAUGUAGUAUGGUUUUCUAGGUAGAUACACAGGAUCUCAGUGGUUCUUUCUGGAUUAGUCUAACUUUACACUACACUAAAGAUGUGCCACACCAUAACACCAGUUUCUUUAAAAGGUUAAUGAGACGUCGUAAUUAUAAAAGGCUUGAAAAUCUUUAUAAGAAGUACAAUUUAAAGGUAAAUGUUUAUUCCUCACUUUAUUAUUUCCCGUUCUCAAUAUUCAGCCUGAAGCUGAUAACAAAAUCAUCAAGUUCAGGUUUCCCUGAUUCAUUUUUAGAUUUUUCAGGAUGAAGAUAAUAUUAGGAACUAACAAAACUACUUGAAAGAAAUUUAUGUUUAGCAAAUUAUGUUAGUUUCAUUCUAUUCUGUGAAAUCAACUAUAGAAAAUUAUAAUACACAAAUAUGUUUGAACAUAGUACAUGUGAUAUUCUCUAUGUAUACAUGUGUAUGUAUAUUAACAGUGAUUAUCUUUAAAUCGAGUGAUUACUAGCCAUUUUGAUAGUUUAACCUUAUUUUUCCUAGCCUUUCCACAUUUUUUAUAGUAAGUGUGCAUUAUUUAUAUUAAUAAUAAAAAUGUCUAACAUUUGAGAAGCACUUAUCUGAUAGAUACUGUGCUAAAAUCAUUAUGAGUCAUCUUGUUUAAUAGUCC
rnacentral:lncRNA from 1 species